CUGCUCCUACGGGGCGCAGCAGUAGGGAAUCUUCCACAAUGGACGAAAGUCUGAUGGAGCAACGCCGCGUGAGUGAAGAGGGGUUUCGGCUCGUAAAACUCUGUUGGUAGUGAAGAAAGAUAGAGGUAGUAACUGGCCUUUAUUUGACGGUAAUUACUUAGAAAGUCACGGCUAACUACGUGCCAGCAGCCGCGGUAAUACGUAGGUGGCAAGCGUUGUCCGGAUUUAUUGGGCGUAAGGCGAGUGC
rnacentral:rRNA from 1 species